rnacentral:lncRNA from 1 species
GUGUUCUUUCUUUUCAAUAGUAAAUAGCUCUGCUUUUUCAAUACCAGUGUUUCAGCCCUGUAUAAUUUUUUUUUUUUCCCUUCUCUAGGGUUACUCCGUGAGGAGUUCGUUUCCUUAAGAUGGAGUAAUCAACAAUAUUCUGCAAAUGCCUGCAAUAUUUCAGUCAAGCACAGAAAAAUGCGACUGGCAAAGCUCAAAGGAUCCGUCUGAGCAAUGAAGAAAGGUUAUUUGGUUUCAAAAUCUUGAAACUUGGGUCCUGGCUCUACUGAAAUCAUUGAAGUCUGCGUCUCACUUAGACAGGUUUGUGUUUCCUAGUCCUGCAGGCGGGGUGAGGAUGGUCUCUGCUCACAAAGAGGUAGGUGUGUGGCUGCACAGGCGGGAGCAAACCGUACCUGAGCUGCUGCCAGGCACUGGGGUGGCUGAAGCCACGUGUCUUUCUUAGCUUAUGGUCUUGCUGCUGACCUCCUGCCAAACACCAUCUCCAGC